rnacentral:rRNA from 1 species
GGUCUGUAGCAAUACAGAUGCUGGCGACCGGCAAACGGGUGCGGAACACGUACACAACCUUCCUUAAAGUGGGGGAUAGCCCGGGGAAACCCGGAUUAAUACCCCGUAACAUAAUGAAGUGGCAUCACUUUAUUAUUAUAGCUACGGCGCUUAAAGAUGGGUGUGCGGCUGAUUAGGCAGUUGGCGGGGUAACGGCCCACCAAACCUACGAUCAGUAACUGGUGUGAGAGCACGACCAGUCACACGGGCACUGAGACACGGGCCCGACUCCUACGGGAGGCAGCAGUAAGGAAUAUUGGUCAAUGGACGCAAGUCUGAACCAGCCAUGCCGCGUGGAGGAUGAAGGUCCUCUGGAUUGUAAACUUCUUUUAUCUGGGAAGAAACCCAAGAUUUUUAUUUUGGUUGACGGUACCAGAUGAAUAAGCACCGGCUAACUCCGUGCCAGCAGCCGCGGUAAUACGGAGGGUGCAAGCGUUAUCCGGAUUCACUGGGUUUAAAGGGUGCGUAGGUGGGUUGGUAAGUCAGUGGUGAAAUCUCCAGGCUCAACUUGGAAACUGCCAUUGAUACUAUUAAUCUUGAAUACCGUGGAGGUCAGCGGAAUAUGUCAUGUAGCGGUGAAAUGCUUAGAUAUGACAUAGAACACCAAUUGCGAAGGCAGCUGGCUACACGAAUAUUGACACUGAUGCACGAAAGCGUGGGGAUCAAACAGGAUUAGAUACCCUGGUAGUCCACGCCCUAAACGAUGGAUACUCGACAUACGCGAUAUACAGUGUGUGUCUGAGCGAAAGCAUUAA